UACGGGGGGGGCAAGCGUUGUUCGGAAUUACUGGGCGUAAAGCGUGCGUAGACGGCUAUCUAAGUCGGGUGUGAAAGCCCCGGGCUCAACCUGGGAAUUGCAUUCGAGACUGAAUAGCUAGGGUACGGUAGAGGGAAGUGGAAUUUCCGGUGUAGCGGUGAAAUGCGUAGAUAUCGGAAGGAACAUCAGUGGCGAAAGCGACUUCCUGGACCAGUACCGACGUCAGGCACGAAAGCGUGGGGAGCAAACAGG
rnacentral:rRNA from 1 species